rnacentral:tRNA from 1 species
GCCCAGAUGGUGAAAUGGUAGACACGCCAGUCUCAGGAGCUGGUGCCGCAAGGCAUGGGGGUUCAAGUCCCCCUCUGGGCA